GAUGAACGCUGGCGGCGUGCCUAAUACAUGCAAGUCGAGCGAACGGACGAGAAGCUUGCUUCUCUGAUGUUAGCGGCGGACGGGUGAGUAACACGUGGAUAACCUACCUAUAAGACUGGGAUAACUUCGGGAAACCGGAGCUAAUACCGGAUAAUAUUUUGAACCGCAUGGUUCAAAAGUGAAAGACGGUCUUGCUGUCACUUAUAGAUGGAUCCGCGCUGCAUUAGCUAGUUGGUAAGGUAACGGCUUACCAAGGCAACGAUGCAUAGCCGACCUGAGAGGGUGAUCGGCCACACUGGAACUGAGACACGGUCCAGACUCCUACGGGAGGCAGCAGUAGGGAAUCUUCCGCAAUGGGCGAAAGCCUGACGGAGCAACGCCGCGUGAGUGAUGAAGGUCUUCGGAUCGUAAAACUCUGUUAUUAGGGAAGAACAUAUGUGUAAGUAACUGUGCACAUCUUGACGGUACCUAAUCAGAAAGCCACGGCUAACUACGUGCCAGCAGCCGCGGUAAUACGUAGGUGGCAAGCGUUAUCCGGAAUUAUUGGGCGUAAAGCGCGCGUAGGCGGUUUUUUAGUCUGAUGUGAAAGCCCACGGCUCAUUUGUGGAGGGUCAUUGGAAACUGGAAAACUUGAGUGCAGAAGAGGAAAGUGGAAUUCCAUGUGUAGCGGUGAAAUGCGCAGAGAUAUGGAGGAACACCAGUGGCGAAGGCGACUUUCUGGUCUGUAACUGACGCUGAUGUGCGAAAGCGUGGGGAUCAAACAGGAUUAGAUACCCUGGUAGUCCACGCCGUAAACGAUGAGUGCUAAGUGUUAGGGGGUUUCCGCCCCUUAGUGCUGCAGCUAACGCAUUAAGCACUCCGCCUGGGGAGUACGACCGCAAGGUUGAAACUCAAAGGAAUUGACGGGGACCCGCACAAGCGGUGGAGCAUGUGGUUUAAUUCGAAGCAACGCGAAGAACCUUACCAAAUCUUGACAUCCUUUGACAACUCUAGAGAUAGAGCCUUCCCCUUCGGGGGACAAAGUGACAGGUGGUGCAUGGUUGUCGUCAGCUCGUGUCGUGAGAUGUUGGGUUAAGUCCCGCAACGAGCGCAACCCUUAAGCUUAGUUGCCAUCAUUAAGUUGGGCACUCUAAGUUGACUGCCGGUGACAAACCGGAGGAAGGUGGGGAUGACGUCAAAUCAUCAUGCCCCUUAUGAUUUGGGCUACACACGUGCUACAAUGGACAAUACAAAGGGCAGCGAAACCGCGAGGUCAAGCAAAUCCCAUAAAGUUGUUCUCAGUUCGGAUUGUAGUCUGCAACUCGACUACAUGAAGCUGGAAUCGCUAGUAAUCGUAGAUCAGCAUGCUACGGUGAAUACGUUCCCGGGUCU
rnacentral:rRNA from 1 species